AUAGUAUUAUUUUAUAUGAAGUAACUUUCAUCAUCAGCUGUAUACAACCAACAAUUUCCUUUUCUCAUCACCAUAUAUGCAUUAUUGUGGUCUUAUAUUCCUUUUGAAGAAAUUUUAAUUUUAAUGGCUACGGAUGCUCUAUGUUUGUAACUUGUAAGCACUAUUUUGUGAAAGAGAAGCACAUGUGCAAGUUGGAUAUGACAAGCUAAGGGAUUCCUAGCUACUAGCUGAACUGGCUUCGCUAUGUCAUGCCGACUUACUACUGCUCCAUUAAACUAUUCCCGGUUUGGCGCAAAAGAAGAGGGAGAGGAGGAUCUCGACUAAAGAUGGCAAUGAGAUAGAUAGCUUGACCUGAUUUGGGCAUUUGGCUUUGGGCACGACUGAGCCCUCCACAAUAAUUUUAUGCUAGGGCUAACCAACUUCCUUCUUUGUUAAGGAUUCUUAUGUCAAUUAGGAGUGUAUUAUUAAAUAUGUCGACCAAUAAAUAAGAUAACUUCAGUUGACAUCAUAAACUCCAAGUAUAGGGUGUAUUAUCAUAUUAUUCCUAAAAAGACAUAUGUAGCAUGACGACUACAUUGGAUACGUAAUUUUUUCGCAUUAUUUGGAGUUCGAACAUCAUGUCGAAAUGAAAACUGUUUUAUGGAAGCUUGGCACAAUGGUAUAGCAACAAACAUAACCUAUAUAGGAUCGCGAGGGCUAUAAACCCUUGCAGUGCCUGCCCAAUUUGUUUGCAUGACACAUAAGGAUUGCAAACAUUUAUUCUGUCAUUGCCCAUUAGCCACGCACUACUGAAGCCUGGGAACAAAUCAACAUUGGUAUAAGCUCUACUCUUGCCUCUCAGGAUAAUUUUACUCAAUGGAAUAUCAAGUGGAUCCUUACAUUCCGUCUUGAAGAUGGCCAUCAUGGCUCUUGUCUCCCUAUUUUGUUGGCAAGCUUUGGUCAAUUUGGAAUACUCGUAAUGAUCAAGUCUUUUGAUAAAUUCGUGCAACGCCACUUUGAUAUUACAGUAGGACGAAGGAUCUCUCAAUACGUAUCCUGGCCAAUAGGUUUCAAUCAUGUCGAGUCAUGAAGGUAAAUUGGAAUCAGGUACAGUCAACUCACACUCUAGCUUGUUGGUGUAGAGUAAAUCGAAUGGCGGAUUUGUAUUAAUUUUUUCAAUGUUUGCUUUUAUGUUUCUCCGAUGUCAAAAAAAUCAUAUAAUUCCGAAUUUUUAUAUGAUUUAUUAUUUCUUAAUUAAUAAUAUCAAGUUUGUGGGUAUCAUCCAUUAUUAUCUAA